rnacentral:rRNA from 1 species
UCCUACGGGGGGCAGCAGUAGGGAAUAUUGCUCAAUGGGGGAAACCCUGAAGCAGCAACGCCGCGUGGAGGAUGAAGGUUUUCGGAUUGUAAACUCCUUUUGUUAGAGAAGAUAAUGACGGUAUCUAACGAAUAAGCCACGGCUAACUACGUGCCAGCAGCCGCGGUAAUACGUAGGUGGCAAGCGUUGUCCGGAUUUACUGGGUGUAAAGGGCGUGCAGCCGGGCUGACAAGUCAGAUGUGAAAUCCCGCGGCUCAACCGCGGAACUGCAUUUGAAACUGUUAGUCUUGAGUACCGGAGAGGUC